GACGAACGCUGGCGGCGUGCUUAACACAUGCAAGUCGAGCGGUAAGGCUCCUUCGGGAGUACACGAGCGGCGAACGGGUGAGUAACACGUGAGCAAUCUGCCCUUCACAUCGGGAUAACUUCGGGAAACCGAAGCUAAUACCGAAUACGACCACCGACGGCAUCAUCUGGUGGUAGAAAGUUCCGGCGGUGAAGGAUGAGCUCGCGGCCUAUCAGCUUGUUGGUGGGGUAAGUGGCCCACCAAGGCGACGACGGGUAGCCGGCCUCGAGAGGGUGACCGGCCGACACUGGGACGUGAGACACGGCCC
rnacentral:rRNA from 1 species